rnacentral:rRNA from 1 species
UACGUAGGGUGCAAGCGUUGUUCGGAAUUACUGGGCGUAAAGCGCACGUAGGCGGAUAUUUAAGUCAGGGGUGAAAUCCCGGGGCUCAACCCCGGAACUGCCUUUGAUACUGGGUAUCUCGAGUCCGAGAGAGGUGAGUGGAAUUCCGAGUGUAGAGGUGAAAUUCGUAGAUAUUCGGAGGAACACCAGUGGCGAAGGCGGCUCACUGGCUCGGUACUGACGCUGAGGUGCGAAAGCGUGGGGAGCAAACAGG